GCCAGCUUUCACCUUCGACUGUGUGAAUCAGUCGACGUAUCGUCGUCCAAUUUCUCUAUCAUUCUCUCGUUCACUGCUCUCCGAUUUGAUUACGCGGAAACCAAAGAGAUCGUGAUAGGGAACGUGCUCAAGCAAGAGCUGGCGGCAAGGCUAAGCAGCCUAAAGCUGAUGGGCUAACUCCUGAACAAAGACGAGAGAGGGAUGCGAAAGCUCUUCAAGAGAAAUUGGCAAAAAAAUGGGCUAAGGAUUCGUCAGGAGGGAACGAUGUGAAGAAUGGGUUUAAGACCAAGAAAUAGAUGGUGAAUUGUAUAAAUGGUAAAUAUAUAUAUAUAUGGGAAUGAGAGUUUUCAUGGCAUUUGUUGGGUUGUUCUUGACGGGUGGCUUGUAAAACUCAUUGACCAUUGAUGGUCUUUUAAUCUAAUAUAUCUGUUCGGUUUGGAUUAAA